CCGGCUGUGAACUGGGAUUAUCCGGAAUGUAUAAAGAAACGCAGCCAUUAUAUCAUUUAUGACAUAAUUUUACAUGUUAUGUUUAAAUUAAUAUUUAUUACAUUUCAUAAAGAUAGUAAGCAUUGAUAAUGACCAAUCAAACGUAAAACAAUUUCUUUUUUUUUGUCCUCGCACUUGCUCACCACGACGUUUUUGUCAAGCAUAAUGCGAGACGGUCAAAUAAAUAGUCACCAAAUUCAAAUAUCAACAUUUUUUUGAUUUUCAUCAAGCAUAGCUGACAAAGGCCGACGACACCAAUACACUUAAGGCGUUCAUAAAGAUAUUUGAUCGUCUCCGUGGCGCUUUAGUCUAAAAAUUUACAAACAAAAGGGGUGUUCAUCAAAAAUGAUAAACUGCUGAUAAACUUAAUAAAAGAAUAAGUGUAUCACAUUGAUAAAUAAACUGGCAAACUUUGUAUGGAAAUCUGUUUAACCGAAGUUUUUCCCUUUAUCAAAAGAUUUUGGCGUAUAAAUGCAUAAAUUUCAGCAAAAUUAGCAAAAUGCCACCCUAACAGGUUGCCAGGUGGUCGCUUUUGCUACGAACACAUAAAAAUCAAAUGAACACAAUGGACGAGGUAAGAAUGAAACGUAACUAGCCAUAUAUACAGUUCAAAAUGGCUCCUCGACGUACACGGUCAUGCUGUCCUGUCGAGUUUUGUUAAAGCAAAUAUCUGACUAAUAUAUACACAAAAAUGAAGUCGGUUCAUUAAAUAUAACAUCCAAAGUUUUAAAGGAAGAUAAUACUACAAAAUAAUAAUUACAUAAGUAAUGUAAUAGUCGUUGGCACAAAGAAAAUUUAUAUUAAAAUUAAAUGAAAAUGUUUAAGCGUACCGUUGGUACGGUACUAUCGUAUGAACAAAGUAACUGUGAAAUAAAAAGGUAACAUGCAUGAUUGUUGCACAAAACGAAA